GUUCUGGAGGAUCUUAGGGCCUGCUGGGAUUUCUGCAUCAAUAUUUACCAGGGAUAUUGGUUUAGUUCUCUAUACUAUCUCUGUCUGAUUUGGAUUUAACAACAUAACAUGGACCUCAUGGAAUGGGUUUGGAAGUGUCCUCUCCUCUUGAACUCUCUGGAAGAGUUUAAGAAGGAUUGGUGUUAAUUUUCAGAUGCUUGGUAGAAUUCACCACUGAAGCCACCUGGUCCUGGGCUUUUCUCUGUUGGGAUGUUGGAUUAAUGAUUCAACCUCCUUAUUCAUUGGAAGUCUGAUUUUCUAUUUCUUCCUGAUUCAGUCUUGUUCUCUGACCAGGGAUCAAACCCAUGUCCUCUGCACUGGAACCUCAGAGUCUUAUCCACUGGACCACCAGGGAAGUCCCCAUCCUCGUGUGUUAAGGGUCCCCUUGUGGGAAUGGCCUGUGAACUCUCUGGACCUCCAUCUUGUUCCUUGAACAGCCCUGUUGAGAAAAUGUACAGAAAAGAGUUAACCUGGCACAUGAACCACGAUUCUUAGAAAGGCUGCUGGCAGUUGUUUUGGGUAAGGGCCUGUGAGCAGGACCAUGGAGAGUUCCCGAUAUGGAUGGGAAUUUUUUCUCAGUGCUAAAGAGGACUUCCCCCAUGCCCAUCCUCCCAUCUAAACCAUUGUGAAGACAACAUGGUUGAUGCUGGGCACCUGCUUCCCUCCUGGGUCUGGGAUUUGAGGACAUGCCAGCCCUCUUGUGGCAGUAGUUUCCUCUGUGGCCAAACUCAGGGUGCCCUCCCCUGACUCUCAGCUCUCGCCUUUAUAAUCAGGGUGCUUACUGAAUUUCUGUUUCCAAGUCCCUGCUGUGCCUUCCACUUCCCUCUCUGCCUGCACAGCAGUCAAUCAGGAGCUGCCAUUUCUCUACCAGAAAGAUGUACCCAUCGGAGCCUUGCACCCCAGGAGAUGGAGGGGGGCGGGCGAGUCCAUCUGGGACAGAGGGCUUCGGGUCAGCAAGUUCCUGCACUGACCCAGGAGCUGUGUAUCUGUUUCACUCUGCGGCCACAUGUCGUUCCAUCAUCUCUGAGGAGCAGACUGCCCAGCUCCUCCUGAGUCCCUGUCAUCAUUUCCCUUCACAUACACAGAACAUCCACAUGACAUCUUACCUCCAACUCAGGGAGCAGGAGAGAUGCUCGAGUGGGAGUGGCCACUGCACACACAGCCUGGGGGGGAUUGGUGAGGACAGGGCCCCGCAGGCACACAAACAGACAGAUGGAAGCCCCUGGGACCCCAGUUUUGCUUCCUGCCAGCCGUGUGGCCCAGCAGCUCAGUCACCUGUUGGGAGCCCUGUUUGCUCACCUGGGUCCUGGGUGCUGGCGUCUCCUGGUUUGUGAGCACGGUCCACUCCCACCAUCCCUGGAGGCAGUCCCCCUCCUGUCUGGUGUGUGGACCUAAGGUGGCACUGUUACCCCCGUGUCUGCUGCCAGGCUCCAGAGUGGCCCCAGGGCCCAGGUCACAGGGAGGGGCUCAGGAUGAGGAACCAUUGCAUUGGGCAUGUGAUGUGGGACCCCAGGGUCUGGAACAAUGGAAAGGAGGGUCAGCAGAGAGCAUAUGAGUCCUAAGCUGGGAGUGGACGGUGUACUCCAGGAGGGGAGAGGCUCCCUGGAUGAGGACUCACUGGAGACAGAGACAGUGUCUGAUUCAGGGAGACCCGGUAACAACGUCCCUUGAACCCCAGGACCUGCCGACUGGAAUCUGGCCCCCACCUGCCCCUGCAGCUUCAGUCAUCAUAAUUGAGUCCCUGGCAGCUGUGCCCAGAUGCAGCUUCUACAAACAGGAAUUUGCCCCAAAUUUGCUCUGAGCAUCUCCCCUGGAUCAAGCCCAAGAUCCCUGAGGCUGGUCAGGGCAGCACAUAACUCAGUGACCUCUGCUCACUGUCUCUGCUGGUGACAACGGAAGAUGCAGAGGGGAAAGAAGGAGAACUUACUCCUGCAUUCAUUUGUUCAUUUAUUCAACACAUUUUUGUUGAGUCCCUACUUUAUGUUAGACAGUUUUAUUCUCUGGAACGCAAUCUUGAAUAAAACAGACCGAACUCUCAGCCCUCAUGGAGAAUAUAUUCAAAAGGUGAAACAGACAUUUAUUAGAUAAAAUAUACAAGGUCGGCUGGUGA
ensembl:lncRNA